rnacentral:rRNA from 1 species
GUUUACUAGAAUAUAGUUAUCUACUUGGAUAACUGUGGCAAUUCUAGAGCUAAUACAUGCAAAAAAGCUCUGCCCGCAAGGAACGAGCGCAUUUAUUAGAAUAAAAACCAAUCGGGUUUCGGCCCGUAAUUUGGUGAAUCUGAAUAACUUUGCCAAUCGCACAGUCCUAGUACUGGCGAUGUAUCUUUCAAGUGUCUGCCUUAUCAACUUUCGAUGGUAGGUUAUACGCCUACCAUGGUAGUAACGGGUAACGGAGAAUAAGGGUUCGACUCCGGAGAGGGAGCCUGAGAAACGGCUACCACAUCCAAGGAAGGCAGCAGGCGCGCAAAUUACCCACUUCCAGAACGGAGAGGUAGUGACGAAAAAUAACGAGACAGUCCUCUUCGAGGUCUGUCAUCGGAAUGGGUACAAUUUAAAUCCUUUAACGAGGAUCUAUUGGAGGGCAAGUCUGGUGCCAGCAGCCGCGGUAAUUCCAGCUCCAAUAGCGUAUAUUAAAGUUGUUGCGGUUAAAACGCUCGUAGUUGGAUCUGCGGCCUCGGAGAACGGUCCCCCGAAAGGGUGGUCACUGUCUCUCCUAGCCUAAAUUCGAGUCGUCUCUAGGUGCUCUUUACCGGGUGCUUAGAGUGACUAGAACGUUUACUUUGAAAAAAUUAGAGUGCUUAAAGCAGGCGAAAUAGCCUGAAUAAGGUGCAUGGAAUAAUGGAAUAGGACCUCGGUUCUAUUUUGUUGGUUUUCGGAACCCGAGGUAAUGAUUAAGAGGAACAGACGGGGGCAUUCGUAUUCCGGCGCUAGAGGUGAAAUUCUUGGACCGCCGGAAGACGGACGACUGCGAAAGCAUUUGCCAAGAAUGUUUUCA